rnacentral:rRNA from 1 species
GACAGAGGAUGCAAGCGUUAUCCGGAAUGAUUGGGCGUAAAGCGUCUGUAGGUGGCUUUUCAAGUCCGCCGUCAAAUCCCAGGGCUCAACCCUGGACAGGCGGUGGAAACUACCAAGCUGGAGUGCGGUAGGGGCAGAGGGAAUUUCCGGUGGAGCGGUGAAAUGCAUUGAGAUCGGAAAGAACACCAACGGCGAAAGCACUCUGCUGGGCCGACACUGACACUGAGGUGCGAAAGCGUGGGGAGCAAACAGG